AUUGAACGCUGGCGGCAGGCCUAACACAUGCAAGUCGAACGAGUGGCGGACGGGUGAGUAAUGUCUGGGAACCUGCCUGAUGGAGGGGGAUAACUACUGGAACCGUUAGCUAAUACCGCAUACCAUCAGAUGUGGCCAGAUGGGCUUAGCUAGUGGGUGGGGUAACGGCUAACCAAGGCGAAGAUCCCUAGCUGGUCUGAGAGGAUGACCGGCCACAUUGGAACUGAGACAGGGCCCAGACUCCUACGGGGGGCAGCAGUGGGGAAUAUUGCACAAGGGGCGAAAUCCGGAUGCAGCCAUGCCGCGUGUAUGAAGAAGGCCUUCGGGUGGUAAAGUACUUUCAGCGGGGAGGCGGUACCCGCAGAAGAAGCAACGGCUAACUCCGUGCCAGCAGCCGCGGUAAUUC
rnacentral:rRNA from 1 species